UACCGGCAGCACGAGUGAUGGCCAAUCUUAUUGGGCCUAAAGCGUCCGUAGCUCGCCGAGCAAGUCCGUCGGGAAAUCCAGUGGCUCAACCGAUGGGCGUCCAGCGGAAACUGUUUGGCUUGGGACCGGAGGACCCGAGGGGUACGUCCGGGGUAGGAGUGAAAUCCUGUAAUCCUGGACGGACCGCCGAUGGCGAAAGCACCUCGGGAGGACGGAUCCGACGGUAAGGGACGAAAGCUAGGGUCUCGAACCGG
rnacentral:rRNA from 1 species